AGUUAAUAAGCUUUUUAAAGCAUUUGUUUUGAAAACAUUCUAAAAAAGUUUAAAUCUUUUAUUAGCUU
rnacentral:tRNA from 1 species